CAACCCUGAGGCGUGAUGACGAGUCACUACGGUGAUGAAGUAGUUGAUGCCAAGCUUCCAGGAAAAGCCUCUAAGCUCUAGGUAACAUUGAAUCGUACCCCAAACCGACACAGGUGGUCAGGUAGAGAAUACCAAGGCGCUUGAGAGAACUCGGGUGAAGGAACUAGGCAAAAUGGUGCCGUAACUUCGGGAGAAGGCACGCUGGCGCGUAGGUGAAGUCCCUUGCGGAUGGAGCUGAAGCCAGUCGAAGAUACCAGCUGGCUGCAACUGUUUAAUAAAAACACAGCACUGUGCAAACACGAAAGUGGACGUAUACGGUGUGACGCCUGCCCGGUGCUGGAAGGUUAAUUGAUGGGGUCAGCCGCAAGGCGAAGCUCUUGAUCGAAGCCCCAGUAAACGGCGGCCGUAACUAUAACGGUCCUAAGGUAGCGAAAUUCCUUGUCGGGUAAGUUCCGACCUGCACGAAUGGCGUAAUGAUGGCCAGGCUGUCUCCACCCGAGACUCAGUGAAAUUGAACUCGCUGUGAAGAUGCAGUGUACCCGCGGCAAGACGGAAAGACCCCGUGAACCUUUACUAUAGCUUGACACUGAACAUUGAGCCUUGAUGUGUAGGAUAGGUGGGAGGCUUUGAAGCGUGGACGCCAGUCUGCGUGGAGCCAACCUUGAAAUACCACCCUUUAAUGUUUGAUGUUCUAACUCCGGUCCCUAAUCGGGAUUGAGGACAGUGUCUGGUGGGUAGUUUGACUGGGGCGGUCUCCUCCUAAAGAGUAACGGAGGAGCACGAAGGUUAGCUAAUCACGGUCGGACAUCGUGAGGUUAGUGCAAUGGCAUAAGCUAGCUUGACUGCGAGAGUGACGGCUCGAGCAGGUACGAAAGUAGGUCAUAGUGAUCCGGUGGUUCUGAAUGGAAGGGCCAUCGCUCAACGGAUAAAAGGUACUCCGGGGAUAACAGGCUGAUACCGCCCAAGAGUUCAUAUCGACGGCGGUGUUUGGCACCUCGAUGUCGGCUCAUCACAUCCUGGGGCUGAAGUAGGUCCCAAGGGUAUGGCUGUUCGCCAUUUAAAGUGGUACGCGAGCUGGGUUUAGAACGUCGUGAGACAGUUCGGUCCCUAUCUGCCGUGGGCGUUGGAAGAUUGAGAGGGGCUGCUCCUAGUACGAGAGGACCGGAGUGGACGCAUCACUGGUGUUCGGGUUGUCAUGCCAAUGGCAUUGCCCGGUAGCUAAAUGCGGAAAAGAUAAGCGCUGAAAGCAUCUAAGCGCGAAACUUGCCUCGAGAUGAGUCUUCCCUGAGACCUUGAGUCUCCUAAAGGAACGUUUAAGACUAAGACGUUGAUAGGCUGGGUGUGUAAGCGUAGCGAUACGUUGAGCUAACCAGUACUAAUGAUCCGUGAGGCUUAACCUUACAACACCGAAGGUGUUU
rnacentral:rRNA from 1 species